GCCAGCAGCCACAUCACCCUGCAACUCACAAUUGACAGCCCAUUGAAGCUAAACAGGUGAGAGCCUGGCCAGUACCUAGACAGGAGCCCUCUUGGGAAAAACUAAGGUUGCUGCUGGAA
rnacentral:rRNA from 1 species